rnacentral:lncRNA from 1 species
CUUCAUCACUCCAUUAUUCCCUCACUCCCUCACUCCCUGAUUCCCUCACUCCAUCACUUCCUCACUCCCUCACUUCAUCACUCCCUCAUUCCCUCACUUCCUCACUCUCUCACUUCCUCAUUCCCUCACUUCCUCAUUCCCUCACUCCCUCACUUCCUCACUUCCUCACACCCUCACUUCCUCACUCUCUCACUUCCUCAUUCCCUCACUCCCUCACUUCCUCACUCCCUCACGUCCUCACUCUCUCACUUCCUCAUUCCCUCACUUCCUCACUCCCUCAUUCCCUCACUCCCUCACUUCAUCACUCCCUCACUUCCUCACUCCCUCACUUCAUCACUCCCUCACUCCAUCAUUCCCUCACUUCAUCACUCCCUCACUUCAUCACUCCCUCAUUCCCUCACUUCCUCACUCCCUCACUUCCUCACUCCCUCACUCCAUCACUCCCUCACUCCAUCAUUCCCUCACUCCCUCACUUCCUCACUCCCUCACUCCCUCAUUCCCUCACUUCCUCACUCCCUAACUUCAUCACUCCAUUAUUCCCUCACUCCCUCACUCCCUGAUUCCCUCACUCCAUCACUUCCUCACUCCCUCACUUCAUCACUCCCUCAUUCCCUCACUUCCUCACUCCCUCACUUCAUCACUCCCUCACUCCAUCAUUCCCUCACUUCAUCACUCCCUCACUUCAUCACUCCCUCAUUCCCUCACUUCCUCACUCCCUCACUUCCUCACUCCCUCACUCCAUCACUCCCUCACUUCAUCACUCCCUCACUCCAUCAUUCCCUCACUCCCUCACUUCCUCACUCCCUCAUUCCCUCACUUCCUCACUCCCUAACUUCAUCACUCCAUUAUUCCCUCACUCCCUCACUCCGAUUCCCUCACUCCAUCACUUCCUCACUCCCUCACUUCCUCAUUCCCUCACUCCCUCACUCCCUGAUUCCCUCACUCCAUCACUUCAUCACUCCCUCAUUCCCUCACUUCCUCACUCCCUCACUUCAUCACUCCCUCACUCCAUCAUUCCCUCACUUCAUCACUCCCUCACUUCAUCACUCCCUCAUUCCCUCACUUCCUCACUCCCUCACUUCCUCACUCCAUCACUCCCUCACUUCAUCACUCCCUCACUCCAUCAUUCCCUCACUCCCUCACUUCCUCACUCCCUCACUCCCUCAUUCCCUCACUUCCUCACUCCCUAACUUCAUCACUCCAUUAUUCCCUCACUCCCUCACUCCCUGA